GAUGAAGAACGUAGCGAAAUGCGAUAAGUAAUGUGAAUUGCAGAAUUCAGUGAAUCAUCGAAUCUUUGAACGCAUCUUGCGCUCCUUGGUAUUCUGAGGAGCAUGCCUGUUUGAGUGUCAUUAAAUUCUCAACUACACUGACUUUGAAUUGGUGUGGCUUGGAUUUGGGGGGAAAAUUGUUGUGGGCUUUUUGUAUAGUCUGCUCCCCUGAAAUUGAUUAGCGGUACCUUUGUGGAACUGUCUACAGGUGUGAUAAUUAUCUACAUCUUAGCCAUCUGCUGGAAUGCUGCUUUCUAAACCUUACUUGUAUUGACAAUCUUGACCUCAAAUCAGGUAGGACUACCCGCUGAACUUAAGCAUAUCAAUAAGCGGAGGA
rnacentral:misc_RNA from 1 species